rfam:Dictyocaulus viviparus strain HannoverDv2000 D_viviparus-1.0_Cont940.3, whole genome shotgun sequence.
GUCACGGUAGUGCAAUGUAUAAGCACGGCAGAAUGUAUAUCUGUAGGUGCGGGCUCGACUCCCACCUGAGGUU